rnacentral:lncRNA from 1 species
GUGUGAAUAUAUUUUUAACAACUAAUUUUUGUAUUGCUUAAUGAUUAUAACAUGAUUAUAUUAUUUUUUAAAUAACAUGAUUAUAACACCGAUAAUUUAAACUAUAAAUGGUGAUGCAAGACAUUUAUGGAUCUUCUAACUUCUUUUCCUUAGUUUGGAAAUGUCAGCCCUGUGGUGAUGGCUGGCAGCAGCACGGGAAGCACUGCUACUCUUUCUCUAGAGAGCAGAUUCCGUGGAGCAGUUGUGAACUUCACUGUUCUCCUUUACGUUCAAGUUUUCUUAAGAUAAGCACGGAAGGAGAGAUGGAGUUUGUAAAAAGAAUGUCAAAGAAGCAGUGUUUUUUGUAUGAGGACAAGUUCGGGUUCAGUUUAUACUACAAUAGCAGCCAAAUGAAAUGGGUGUGGCUAGAUGGUUCAGCUUUUAUUCUGGACAAAUUGAUGAAAUGCUAGAAUCAAAAAGCUCCGCUGACUCACUGUGCUCACAGCUGGAGAGAUGUCAGAACUCUUUCCCCAGCAUCCGCCACAGAAUUUCUCACUUUACAACCCAUAACACAAUAAGAUGUGUAGAGUAUAAUGUGGAUUAAAAUUAAUUGCUGAGUGAAUAAAUGAGUCUUUGGAAAUGUUAUGCA